AAUAAUUCACAAUGGGGGAAACCCUGAUGGUGCAACGCCGCGUGGAGGAUGAAGGCCCUAGGGUCGUAAACUCCUGUCAUUUGAGAGUAAGACCUGGUCGUUAAUAGCGGACAGGGUUGAUAGUAUCAAAAGAGGAAGGGACGGCUAACUUCGUGCCAGCAGCCGCGGUAAUACGAAGGUCCCGAGCGUUGUUCGGAAUCACUGGGCGUAAAGGGAGCGUAGGCGGUUUGGUAAGUCAGAUGUGAAAUCUUGGGGCUCAACCCCGAAACUGCAUCCGAUACUGCUUAACUUGAGUAAUGGAGGGGUAGCUGGAAUUCUCGGUGUAGCAGUGAAAUGCGUGGAUAUCGAGAGGAACACUCGUGGCGAAGGCGAGCUACUGGACAUUUACUGACGCUGAGGCUCGAAGGCCAGGGUAGCGAAAGGGAUUAGAUACCCCUGUAGUCCUGGCAGUA
rnacentral:rRNA from 1 species